rnacentral:rRNA from 1 species
UACGUAGGCAGCGAGCGUUGUUCGGAGUUACUGGGCGUAAAGCGUGCGUAGGCGGUGUCUUAAGUUUGUUGUGAAAUCUCCCGGCUUAACCGGGAGGGUGCGGCGAAUACUGAGAUGCUGGAGUGCCGGAAAGGUAAGCGGAAUUCCUGGUGUAGCGGUGAAAUGCGUAGAUAUCAGGAGGAACACCUGCGGUGUAGACGGCUUACUGGACGGUAACUGACGCUGAGGCACGAAAGCGUGGGUAGCAAACAGG